GACGAACGCUGGCGGCAUGCCUAAUACAUGCAAGUCGAGCGAACAGAUGGAGUGCUUGCACUUCUGACGUUAGCGGCGAACGGGUGAGUAACACGUAAGGAAUCUACCUAUAAGCGGGGGAUAACAUUCGGAAACGGGUGCUAAUACCGCAUAAUAUCUUCUUCCGCAUGGAAGAAGAUUGAAAGACGGCUCUGCUGUCACUUAUAGAUGACCUUGCGGUGCAUUAGUUAGUUGGUGGGGUAACGGCCUACCAAGACGAUGAUGCAUAGCCGACCUGAGAGGGUGAUCGGCCACAUUGGGACUGAGACACGGCCCAAACUCCUACGGGAGGCAGCAGUAGGGAAUCUUCCGCAAUGGGCGAAAGCCUGGCGGAGCAAUGCCGAGUGAGUGAAGAAGGCCUUCGGGUCGUAAAACUCUGUUAUAAGAGAAGAACAAAUUGUAGAGUAACUGCUACAGUCUUGACGGUAUCUUAUCAGAAAGCCACGGCUAACUACGUGCCAGCCGCCGCCGUAA
rnacentral:rRNA from 1 species